CUAUGAUGGGGAUAACAGUUGGAAACGACUGCUAAUACCGAAUACGCUCAUGAUGAACUUUGUGAGGAAAGGUGGCCUCUGCUUGCAAGCUAUCGCAUAGAGAUGAGUCCGCGUCCCAUUAGCUAGUUGGUGGGGUAACGGCCUACCAAGGCAACGAUGGGUAGCCGAUCUGAGAGGAUGAUCGGCCACACUGGGACUGAAACACGGUCCAG
rnacentral:rRNA from 1 species